UACGGGGAGACCUAAAUCGUGACUCAAUUUGCCCUUUUAUAGAGGGAAUACAAGCGUGCUAAGGCUUAGAAAAAGCCACACUCGUCUAUAUCCCAUAUUUAAGGGGACUCUCAAGCAAAUGAACCCUAUAACUAGCAUGAAAUGCAAAAAUCCUAAAAUGGAGGGAAAAGGGGUUCGAGGGGCAUGCAAAAUGAUAAAACUAAGAAAAAUGCAUGAAAUGAAGUGAAACAUGCAAACAUGUACUAACGAGGGGAAAUCCCUAAGGGUCUAGCGUUGGACUAGCCCAUUCUAUGAAUUCCGAGUAGCGUUGGACUAGCGGAAACGUACAUUCAUCCAUCACAUUCAUUCAUGGCUAUGAAAAGCGAGUAGACAUGCCAAACACUCAUAAACACAUAGCACAUAACAUUUAGCAUGCUCGACUAGAUGCAAGGCCCUAACAACGCAAAUUAACACUUAACACGUAGGCAUGCAACCAAGCUAAUGAACCUAUUACAUUCACUAACUAAAACAAAAGGGGAAAGGGAAAAUGGACCAAAUUGCUCGCCACAGCCCUAUCUAUUACAAGCCAAGAGGUGUACACAUACCCCAUUAAAAGAAUAACUUAAUGAAAACAAAAAGUAAAUGACAUAAGUAAAAGGAAUUAAAGAAAAGCUAGGAAAGCAAAGUAGACAUGCAAUUCACUUAGCACGUUGAGUCACAUAGGAGAGACACAAAGAGGGAUAAAAGAAAUUAUACCGCCACCUUGAAUUGAUGUUCUAAAUGGAGUGAAAUCACUUAUUUAUCCUCCAAAAUAAAAGAAAUGGUCAAGGUACCAAUUUAUUUGGGGAAAAUUAAAGAAAAUUGGCAAACACAAGCUCACUUGGUCAUAAAGCCCUUAAAGUCAUGAAUGAAGUGCAAUUUAAACAAAGCAUAGUAGUAAGCUGAAGCAAACAAGCGAUGAAGUUGUAAAUUUGAAACUGCCAAGGACCAAAUUUAGGACAUUAACCAAGCACUCAAGCCUAAUUAAACAUUUUUAGGAACUUCAAAGGGUCCAAGGGCAAAGAAAAUGUUGAGGAAUGGUUCAAUUACAAUUAUCCUAGGAUCUAAUUGCAAGAAAUUGGAAUGCAGUUGGGCCAUAAUGCAUUGCUGCAAAAAUCACAGGGACCCAAUUGAUUAGUUUUCUCAAUUUUCUGGGUCAUACUGGCAUUAGUUGGAAGCCAAGGGGUCAAAGUGCAAUUUUCAGAAAAUUAUUUCAUGCAAAUUCAUGCAAAUGCUUCAAGCAACACCGAACCAAGCCUUCUUUGUUUAUGCAAUUCGGCAAUUCAAACGAAAAAACAAAACCCAAACACAAUUAUCAUACAAUCUUCCCAUUUUGUCUCAUGAAAACUGUAGAUUUAAACACCAAGAUGGUCGGACAACAAACAAUGCAAAAUCUGAGCAAACUCCAGCAACUAAAACAUUUCUGCAACAAGAAGAAACUCUUGACAGCCAAUCUAAAACCUGAGGAAUUCCAUCAACUUUGUACGGCCAAAUUUAAGGGUCAUGUCAAACAAGAACCAGCUGUAAGCUUAUCCUUAAGACGGCACACUCAACAUACAAGGGAGAGGGAGACCAACAAAACGUGGGGAGAGGCUUGUGAAUUCAGUUUUACUUUCAAUAGUAACUUUCCACCAAUUUCUAAGCUUUCUACGGAAACUUAUUUACUUAGCAAGUUGUUUGAACCUGAUUUAUGUAGAUUCAGCCCAAGAACACAUGACCCCAACAUUAAUCACCCAAUUUCUUCUUUCAAACACAAGAUUAAAUGAUCCAGUAGGCAAUGAAACCCACUCAAUGGACUGUCGCAAUGAAACAUCAAACAGGAACAAUGAAAUGCAGCCUUCCUCGUGUCAAACCAGAAUUCCAGAUUUCAUUUUUUUGAAAACAUCAAAUGAUAAAGCAUCAUAUGGGCAGGAUUAAAACAAACAAAGAUAGCUUAAAGCUCAUCCAAAUGCAAUGUUCUAAACCCAACGAAUUUACCCAUACUAAACUGGACAACAUGAAAUCAGCUUGGAGUAAAUGUAUACAUGACGUGCCUUUCACACUACAAUCGAAUCCAACAUUUCAAUUGAAGUCCGAACCAGAAUAAACUAAAGGAAAGCGAAGGCUUUGUCUAAAAUUGGGAAUAAAAGCACAACAAAAUUCAGGCACCAUGUUCAUAAAAACCGACUCAGCAAUACACAAAGAAAAACGGAAGCUUUUCUUGCCUCAUCCAAAAGAACUUCAGUAACCGAAAGUGCAGGACUUCAUGGUAUUUCACUCAACAAGCAAAAGCCAAGACUUUAAGCUAGACUUCCAUUCAAUAUACCAAAUAAAAAGACUGAUAAACUGCUAUAACAGAAAUUUUCAGCCUGCUAAACCAGACCCCACAACGUUUCAGUGAGCAAAAGACCAUAUGAUACAAGAAAAACACAAUAACAACAAAAGACGGCAUCUUUGGGCUGUAUAAUGAAAGGGAAUACAUGAAACAUCAUCGGCCCAGCAAUCUGAUUUCAUAUGAGAUGAAAAAUAGGCAAGAGAAAAGGUCGAAGGCUACCUGUUCACCACCUUUGGAUUUGCAACUUCAGUUUGGAUGCGAGGCAGAUUCUAACGAAGUGGUUGCCUGAGCUUCUCUCGGUGAUUGCUCCUGGCCGUGACUUCCUCUUCUGGCCAGUCUCUCUUUGGUUUUCGUUUCUAAACCCUCACAGCCGCCAACUCUACUCAGUCCUCCCUUUGGUUGUUUUUCACUCUUACUUCACAAAGCUCUCGGUUUCUUUUCCUGCCGUCACUCCAAUUCUUUUUCCUUUCGUCCCCUUCUUCUCUUCUUCUUUUUUUUAGUUUUUUGUAGCCGCCAACCUCUCCAUCUUUUUCUCUCCUGCCUUGCCUUCUUCUUAUAUGGGAUCCCCAGCCCUAAACCUCAGUCCUUUCCCUCAUAUUUGCAACUAAGGAGCUCCCCAAAGUUCACUUGCAAGCUGCGGCAAAAACGCAGCCUGCAUGCUGCGCGUUGGUUUUUUUUUUUUUUUCAAAUACAGCAUAUAAAUAAUAAUAAUAAUAACAAAAUGACAAAACCAUGUAAUAAUAAUAAGAAUGAAAACAAAUAAAUAAAAAACAAACUAAAUAAAUAAAAACAACAAAAAUGUCCAUUUUUCAAAUUUUCUUCAUUUUUCCUUUUUUUUUCCUUUUUUUUUCAAAAUAACUUAAUAAAAAUAACUAAAGUGCAAAAAGGUUGAAUUUAAAGAAAUAAACAUAUUUUUGUGAACAAAUUUUCUUUUUUUUUCUUUCUUUUCCAUUGUUUUUUCCAAGAAAACUAAAAACCUAUUUUUUUUUAACGUUUUUGCUUGUUUUUUUUUUUUUUUUCCAUGAUUUUCAUCAUCAUUUUUUAUCAAGAAAGCAUUAAAUAAAAAAAAUGACUAAAACAUAUUUUUUUUCUUUGAAAGUUUUCCUUUUCUCUCUAGCAACUCUAUGCUAAUCUUAAAAUUUAAAAACUAAAACUAAAACUAAAACUAAAAGUAAAAGUAAAUAAAACUAAAAAGACAAACAAGAAUAAAUGACAAAUGAAAUAGAUCAACUAAAAGGGCCAAAAAUGAACUAAAAUAAAAUAACCACUAAAAAUGAGAAACAAACAAUAACGAACUAGAAUGCAAACAAUCUAAAACAAACAAAAUCAUGAAAUAGAUGCCACCUACAAAUUAUUAAAAAUUUGGUGUCUACAGGUGGAAGUAACGUCGGACCGAUCCAACAUAAAAAGCAGAAGAUGGCAAAGGGUAAAAGGGAGCCAAGGAGGAAGGAAAAAGACUUACUGGUGAACGGAAUGGGAAAAGAUGAAGGAACCGCCGGAAUCUGAGCACUGUGGGCUGGAGGUCUUGCCGUUGGAAAUUCCGGGAGUAAGAAAAUACACGAAAAGAGGAAAAUGGCAAAUAGAGUCGGAGGAAAUUUGGAAGCCCCUAUUUAUAGGGAAUGAAAUAGGGGAAACGGCUGCUUGAAUUUGAACCAUCCCCAUGUGAACGCAUUUAAGAGCGGUACGGAAACCGAAAAGACGCGACAGCCGAAAGGACGUGAGCGCAGCUUUUCAGUGACAGCACUGUGCUAGAGGUGACCCUAGCAGAGCAGGGCGAUGUUGGUUUCCCACGUGGCAAGGGUGUAGAUUAGGUCUGUCUGAAAACCCUACUUAAUCUAGGGGGUUAGUGCAGAGGCUCCGUCCUGAGCCCAGACACGUGGCAGCCCAGGAAGGCCAGAGUUGGACCUGGACCCCAGGCCCAUGGGAACCGUCCUAGGGCACACCACUGCUAGGGCUCCGAAAGGGCUUCAGGGGACAAUUCCGCAGAGGGCGGGGAGAAUCUCCCUCAACGCGGGAUUGAGACUAUCCCGGGCAGGUUCCGAAACGUACGGAGGUCGGAUUCUCGAGCAGGUAUAAAUGGUAACGCACACCAACUGCAUAAGGUACACUCACUAUUGGCAAAAUUCUCCUAAUUGCUUUACUCCUAGUAAACUCCGUUCACCGGAAGACUAACUUGACCGUCGGAGUGACCCCGGGAACCACCUCGGGGCUCCCCUGUUCGUCACCCCGGAGUCCUCUUCUUGUUUGUCUUGUAGAGUUGGAACACGCUCUUCUCGUCAGCACGCCGAGCUCAUCAGGUCAGCUCGACUCGGGGAAGCUCAGUGCUUCUUCAAAAUGGAUAAAUCAUAAAGAUAUUUUCAUUCGAGGCAAUUCCUGCGUACCAAUUCCUGCAUACCAAACGAAGAGUAAAAGUAGAAAACAUAUAAUGCCAUUCGGUUGGAUAAAGUUCUCUUUCUUUGUAACAUAAGAGUAAGAGUAGAAAACAUAUAAUUGUUCCAAAACUUUUAGAAGUAUAACCAGAAGUAUUUUGUUUCAUUGAAAAAGUUCAAGAAAAUAGAGUGGAGUAAAUAAUCUAUAAAUAAAUAAAAGCAAUUGGAAUAAAUUUCCAAAUCUUCAAGCCAAUCCAUAAAAAGAUUAGAGCUCAAAAAAAUUAUCAAUCGCAUAUUUAAUUCUAUUUUCUCAAUCUACCAUAGCUAGUUGAAAUAUUAGCUUUGUUCAGCACAUCUAUACUUACUACAUAUAAAUCCUAGAAACAGUUUAUAGUGUUGACUUCUUUUUUUUUUUUUUUGGUCAUUUUUAACUAUCAUUUGACCUUAUAAUAAAGAGUAAAUUGUUCCAACCUUAAGCAAAAAAAAAAAUAGUUAUUUUGUUUUAUUAACAUCUUAAACUACGUUGAUAACUAUCCAUAGUUGUAAGGUACAAUCAAAUAACUAGUUAUCUAUAAAUUGUAAUUUUUUAAAAAUAAAAUCCACAUUAACUCUCAAAAUGUAAAACUAAAUCCAAAAUUAUUUUUUUAAAAAAAAUAUAAUAAUUAUUAAUUGUUCAUACAUAUAAUAUGCUUCAAUUACUUAAUGUACUAAAAAAAAUAUAAUAAUUAUUAAUUGUUCAUACAUAUAAUAUGCUUCAAUUACUUAAUGUACUAGAUUAGAGUCCCCAAGUACCAGAAAAUGCAGCUUUUCACCAAGAAAAAAAAAGGUAAUGGUACACGAGUGUAAUUCUAAGCUCGUGUGAAGACCCAAACAGCAAAUUCUCCCAAUUGCCACUAAAUGAGAAAAGGAUUCUCUGAGGUUGUAGGGUUGUAGGAGCGUAGAGAAUUUUCAACGGUCAAGAUCAACUCAGCUGACCUCGAUCUCACCGAAAUCAACGUGUCUGGCUAGGCAGAUCGGCGUUAAGAGUUCAGAUCCCACCCUCCGCACCUGCCAUGACCCCGUCGCACACUGCUAGAUCCCACCUAGAAUCCAGCUCGGUCACGCACACUGCUAUAAAAUUCUAUUCACUUGUUCCCCGUCGCAUGUUAAUAGUCGUCCAUUCCUCAAAGCCUGCCUCUUCUUUCUCAUUCCGUUUCCUCGCUACGCUCCUCGUUCUUCUCCCCUCCAUGCUUACACCGCGACUUCCAAGGCGAGUCGAACGCAGGUAUUUCCCAACUCCCCUUCUCUCUCCUUUUUUCACGGUCCGAAAUCGCUAAUUCGUCCCGAUCUUAACCCUUUUUUUUCGUUUUUAAUUCGUUAUAUAUUGAAGAUCUUUGUUUCAUUUCUGUCUUUUCUUUUUGUCCUCAGUCUUCCACGUGGUCUUUUUUCUAGAUCUGUCUGCGAUAUAAGGUUCUCUCUCUUUUUUCUUUUUUUUGGGGGUUCGUUUUGGUUUUAGUUUUCUGUUGCAUUGAAAUAUCUGGACUUGUGUAGAUCUAUCUCUUUUACAUAUUAGUAUCUGUUGAUGGUUUGCUGGUUAUGGAUCUGACGUUGUGCUACUGUUGAAUCGGGUUUUGAUUUUGUUUGAAGAAUUCAAUUUUCGUGGAUCCAAGUUAUUUGAAAUUAGUCAAGGUUACUAAAUUUGUUUGUUUCGUUACUAUUUCUUGUGUACUUGUAUUUAAUCUGGGGCUACUUUUCCUAGUUUUACUGUUUUCUUAGUGUGUUGUAAAUUUUCUUUGUGGUUUAGCAUGUGUUUGAUUUUCUGCUGUGGGUCUGCAGGUUUCUCAUGUCAUUCCUGUCUAUCCGUUUAAACAAAUUGAAAUUUGGCAUUCUUUUUUUUUUUUUUUCUGGUUGAUACAUGGGUUUUUUAUAACCAGACAAAAGGGGCUUUAAGAGAGUGAUUUUUUGUUGUUGUUGUUACAUUUUGUGAAUAGUCAAAGUUGUUGUCAUUCCAUGAAAUGGGUGUUCUUUGACAAUGGGGUUUCUGAAACAAUAAGUUGCAUGUUGGAUACUAUUUUUUUCCCUGCUGUUAAGUUGAUGUGAUACAUUUAGAUUAAGGUGGUGAUGUCUUGAGUAUGAAGAAUUAGGGCAUUGUAGGGUGUACAAUGAUUAUAUUGCAUAGGGUUUAAUAUUGGUGUCAAUGGAUAGUAUUUUAUUGCUUCUGACAAGGGCAUCAAUGGUUUAUUUUGAUUAAGUGUUAAUGUUGUUGGCCAUUCUGUUACUUAAAAAUGAAGAGCUGAUACUUAACCAAACAAGGAAACUUUAAGUUGGUUGUUUACACAUGCACACUUUUCCGGCUUUAUUGUUUUGUAUGGAAUUGUGAUGUGAAUAUUUUUUCUUAUGUAACAUUUACUAGUAUUAUAGAUUCAUGUGGAGGGAUAAAACAAAUAUGUUCUUGAUAUUGAAGUUUUAUAGGUUUCUAGUGCCAAAUGCAGUCUGUAGUCUGACAACUCUCUUAACUAGUCAGUGUCCUGAAAAUGCUAACAAGGUUUAGUGUCAUUUGAUUUUGUCCUCGGCAGGGGUUCCAGUGUAAGUGAGAAUGGCUGAUCAGCGUCGGUGCCCAACUGUUGCUCAGAAACUAGCUAAUCAGCUGCAUUUGAGUAGCAGUCUGUCCCAAGAUAUUCAAGGCCGCUAUGGAGGCUUCCGGAGACCUGCUUUUCACCAGAGGUGCUUUGCAUAUGGCAAUUACUCAAAUGCAGGAUUGCAUACUGUGGUGCAGUCUUGCUGUGCCACCCAGGAACUGUCAUUGGUUGCUGCAAAUGCAUCACCAGUAUUUGUCCAGGCUCCUGCAGAGAAGGGUAUUGGAAGCUUUGCCAUUGACUUCCUCAUGGGUGGGGUUUCAGCUGCUGUGUCAAAAACUGCUGCUGCUCCUAUUGAGCGUGUUAAGCUUUUGAUCCAGAACCAAGAUGAAAUGAUUAAGGCUGGUCGUCUGUCUGAGCCAUACAAGGGAAUUGGAAACUGCUUCAAUCGAACCAUUCAAGAUGAAGGAUUUAUGUCAUUGUGGAGAGGAAACACUGCUAAUGUCAUCCGUUACUUCCCUACACAGGUUUCCACACACUUUUUCAAGACUUCAUUUACCAACUACACGCAUGAGAACUUUUGUGUCUAUUACCUUUGUUCAUGUUUUGUUAACCACCUGUACAUGUUAUGCAGGCCUUGAACUUUGCAUUCAAGGACUACUUCAAGAGGCUUUUCAAUUUCAAGAAGGACAAGGAUGGUUACUGGAAAUGGUUUGCCGGUAACCUUGCAUCAGGUGGUGCUGCUGGUGCUUCUUCCCUUCUUUUUGUCUAUUCUUUGGACUAUGCUCGUACCCGUCUUGCAAAUGAUGCCAAGGCUGCAAAGAAGGGUGGUGAAAGGCAAUUUAAUGGUUUGGUUGAUGUCUACAAGAAGACCUUGCAGACUGAUGGUAUUGCUGGUCUUUACCGUGG
rnacentral:lncRNA from 1 species